UUUCCGUAGGUGAACCUGCGGAAGGAUCAUUCAUAAUAAAGUGUUUUAUGCCACUUUUUAAAAACCCAUAUCCACCUUGUGUGCAAUGUUAGAUCUCGUCAAUCUUGGCGAGAUUUUUAUACAUCAACUCAUUCUUUAACUAAUUUGUCUGAAAAAUAUUAUGAAUACUUAAUUCAAAAUACAACUUUCAACAACGGAUCUCUUGGCUCUC
rnacentral:misc_RNA from 1 species